UUUGAUCAUGGCCUAGAUUGAACGCUGGCGGAUGCUUUACAUUACGCAAGUCGAACGGCAGCACGGACUUCGGUCUGGUGGCGAGUGGCGAACGGGUGAGUAAUGUAUCGGAACGUGCCUAGUAGGGGGAUAACUACGCCAGGCGUAGCUAAUACCGCAUACGCCCUUCGGGGAAAGCGGGGGGACCUCCCGGGCCUCGCACUAUUAGAGCGGCCGAUAUCGGAUUAGCUAGUUGGUGGGGUAACGGCUCACCAAGGCGACGAUCCGCAGCUGGUUUGAGAGGACGACCAGCCACACUGGGACUGGAGACACGGCCCAGAUCACGGGAGGCAGCAGUGGGAAUUUUGGAAUGGGGAAACCCCGAUCCAGCCAUCCCGCGUGUGCGAUGAAGGCCUUCAGUUGGGGUAAAGCACUUUGGCAGGAAGAACGGCACGGGAUAAUACCCCGUGCAACUGACGGCACUGCACAAGACCGGGCUAACUACGUGCCAGCAGCCGCGGUAAUACGUAGGGUGUGCGUUAAUCGGAAUUACUGGGCGUAAAGCGUGCAGGCGGUUCGAAAGAAAGAUGUGAAAUCCCAGAGCUUAACUUUGGAACUGCAUUUUUAACUACCGAGCUAGAGUGUGUCAGAGGGAGGUGGAAUUCCGCGUGUAGCAGUGAAAUGCGUAGAUAUGCGGAGGAACACCGAUGGCGAAGGCAGCUCUGGGAUAACACUGACGCUCAUGCACGAAAGCGUGGGGAGCAAAUGAUUAGAUAUUCCUGGUAGUCCACGCCCUCAAACGAUGUCAACUAGCUGUUGGGGUUUCGGCCUUAGUGCAAGUAGCGCAGCUAACGUGUGAAGUUGACCGCCUGGGGAGUACGGUCGCAAGAUUAAAACUCAAAGGAAUUGACGGGGACUCGCACAAGCGGUGGAUGAUGUGGAUUAAUUCGAUGCAACGCGAAAAACCUUACCUACCCUUGACAUGUCUGGAAUCCCGAAGAGAUUUGGAGUGCUCGCAAGAGAACCGGAACACAGGUGCUGUAUGGCUGUCGUCAGCUCGUGUCGUGAGAUGUUGGGUUAAGUCCCGCAACGAGCAACCCUUGUCAUUAUUGCUACGAAAGGGCACUCUAAUGAGACUGCCGGUGACAAACCGGAGGAAGGUGGGGAUGACGUCAAGUCCUCAUGGCCCUUAUGGGUAGGGCUUCACGCCAUACAAUGGUCGGGACAGAGGUCGCCAACCCGCGAGGGGGAGCCAAUCCCAGAAACCCGAUCGUAGUCCGGAUCGCAGUCUGCAACUCGACUGCGUGAAGUCGGAAUCGCUAGUAAUCGCGGAUCAGCAUGUCGCGGUGAAUACGUUCCCAGGUCUUGUACACACCGCCCGUCACACCAUGGGAGUGGGUUUUACCAGAAGUAGUUAGCCUUAACCGUAAGGAGGGCGAUUACCACGGUAGGAUUCAUGACUGGGGUGAAGUCGUAAAUAAGGUAA
rnacentral:rRNA from 1 species